UUGUCACAAGGGUUCCACAAAAGUGAAAAGGUUGGGAAACACUGCUCUAUACAUCCCUUUAUAAGUUAACAUAAAAUAUGUCCAUGUCCCCACUAUUAAUUGUGUUAUCUGUACUAUGCAUAAUACACCAGGUAGUAAAUUCCAUAUACAUGUAUGUUAACUGCGGUACCCGUUGUUAUAGUCUGGCGAGCACACUACACUAUGGCGAGCACACCACUUCCAUGACAUAGAUAGCAUGGUCGGAUCAUUAUCGUUAAUAAUAUUGUGCAGUGGCCAUCUUUUUUCUAUUUGAAUGGCUUCUAACAUAUUUAUGCCCGUAGGAUCUCGGAGUGGUUUUACCACAUUCGCUUGGUUCCACUUGAUGUUGCUGUCUUGUUCAUAUGCUUUAAUACUUAAUGCAGUAUCCAUCCUUCCAUCUUUUACACUACGCAUAUAUUCUUUUACUCUCUUGUUUAAGUUCCUCCUCGUGCUGCCUAUAUAAUAUUGUGUGGCAUCCUCCUCUACGUUAUAUCACAGAACAGUAUAAAUGCCCGUUUUUCUUCCCUCACUUAUGGGAUCUUUGUUGUUGCAGAACAAGUCGAAUACUGUGGAGUCACGUUUUUUUGCCAUUUUUGACUGUGUAUGCCUUAGAGCCUUGCCCAGGAUACGGUCAGUGUUUUCAUAAUACGUGAUGGUAGCAAAUCA
rnacentral:lncRNA from 1 species